rnacentral:lncRNA from 1 species
CUAAUUGUUUAAAGAAUUAUAAAUAAUAUGUUUAUGAAAUCUAUAGCUAUAGCUUCUAUAGAUUUAACUUAUAAAGAUAUUUUAAAUCACAUAAUACAUAAUCAGUCUCCAAUACCCUCUUCAAAAUAACUUCUAAAAGUAGCCCCAAAUAGUGGUGAUCCCAAGAAAGAACUAGAGCCGGCCACAAUGGAAUAUUAUUAAGCAGUAAAAUAAAUAAACUGUGAAGCCAUGAAAAGACAUGAAGAGGGCCAGGCACAGUGGCUCACGCCUAUAAUCCCAGCACUUUUGGGAGGCCAAGGCAGGAGCACUGCCUGAGCCCAGGAGUUCAAGACCAAUCUCUAUUUUAAACAAAAACAAAAGAAGAAGAUACUGACGAAGAGACCUAAAUGCAUAUUGUUAAGUGAAGAUGCCAGUCUGAAAGGACUAUAUACUAUGAUUCCAACCACAUGACAUUCUGGAAAGGUAAAACUAUGACUGUAAAAAGAUCAGUGGUAGCCAGAGGUUCAGAGGGAUGAGGCAGAGAUGAGUAAGUGGAACAUGGGACAUUUUUAGGUCAAUGAAACCAUUCUGCACGAUUCUAGAAUAGUGGAUGUAUAAUGUUAUGCAUUUGGCAAAACCCAUAGAACUGUCCAACACAAAGGGUGAAUCCUAAUGUGAACUAUGGACUUUAGUUAAUAAUGUAUCAACACUGGUUCCUCAGUGAUAACCAACACACCACACUAAUGCAAGAUACUAACAGAGGAAACCGUGGGGGACAGUAUAAAUGGGAACUGUGUAUUUUUUUGAGCAAUUUUUCUGUAAAUCCAAAACUGUUCUAAAAAAAAAAAUCUUUCAAAAAACUCAAAUUUACAUAGCCACAUAUAGUUAGUGGCCAGUAUUGAACAGCAUAGGCCCAUAUAAAUAGACUGAUGUGGGAAGAAAAUGAGAAUGGCAUAUGAAGAAUUACUUCAUUUCUGACUACCACUCCCAAAAGUACACAUACAGUUAACCCUAAACUAUAUAAGGUUUUAUAUGUAGCUUCUAUAUUAACAUUUUACAGUAGAACUUGAUCAAAAAUAUUCUGGAUGAAUAUCUUUCUAAUUUUUGUUAAACAGAAUUUAAGGAGGAAAAUAACAUUCAUUAAAGGUGUCAGGUACUAUACUAAAGAUAUUAUUAUUUACAUUUCCAAACAACCUUUAGAUAAAAGUAUUACCAUUUCUGUUUUUAGAGAUGAGGAAUUAUAAUGCUUAAGUCAUAGAAGAUGAGAACCUAGAUAUACUGGACUCCAAAGUGUAUGUUCUAUUUUUUUUAGCGAGGUCUAUAUUCUAAUAUACACCACUCUACUGUAUAUAUGUUUAUGAUUCCCAAAAUUACAAACAUAAUUUUCCCACAAUGAAUUUUCCAUCAGGAGCAAUACUUUAUAUAUAGCACAAUAUAACAGUUAAUGAUAUACUCAGAGUCUAAUGAGGUGUUGUAUAGGUAACUGCUGUCCCUAUUUUAAACAGCCUCAGGCUAAUGUGACUUUUUUCCUGCCACCCAGCUGGCCCUCCAUCCUACCUAUAUGGCUCUACUCCAACAUCUAAUUUGCACCUUUUAAUCUGCUGUGGGACGAGAAAAUAGAUAAUCAAAUUCCUUGAAUUAUGUACAAAGCAAGAGAACUUCUAAACCAAUAUGUUAGUGCAGAUGAUUUAGUUCAUUAAUUUUUCUGAUAAUUAUAGGCCUUUUUUUUUUUUUUGGCCUACUUCUUAAUCUAAACUGAGACCUGGACAAAUUAAAUACUGUUCUAUAAUAAAGCUAAGAAUUUAGUGAUUCUGUUUCAUUCAAAAGUUUUCCACUACACUUUUUUUUUUUUUGAGACAAGUCU